rnacentral:rRNA from 1 species
AGCGAACGCUGGCGGCAGGCUUAACACAUGCAAGUCGAACGGGCACUUCGGUGUCAGUGGCAGACGGGUGAGUAACACGUGGGAACGUACCUCUUGGUUCGGAACAACACAGGGAAACUUGUGCUAAUACCGGAUAAGCCCUUACGGGGAAAGAUUUAUCGCCGAGAGAUCGGCCCGCGUCUGAUUAGCUAGUUGGUGAGGUAAUGGCUCACCAAGGCGACGAUCAGUAGCUGGUCUGAGAGGAUGAUCAGCCACAUUGGGACUGAGACACGGCCGAAACUCCUACGGGAGGCAGCAGUGGGGAAUAUUGGACAAUGGGGGCAACCCUGAUCCAGCCAUGCCGCGUGAGUGAUGAAGGCCCUAGGGUUGUAAAGCUCUUUUGUGCGGGAAGAUAAUGACGGUACCGCAAGAAUAAGCCCCGGCUAACUUCGUGCCAGCAGCCGCCGUAA